rnacentral:lncRNA from 1 species
GCUGCUGUCCCGCGGGUAACGCGGUGUUUGAAGCCUGUGUCGGACUGUUUGUUUUGUUUAGGGACCAACUGUGCUAGGCGCCUAAAGCGCAGAAGAAGGGUUUUCAGUGGAGCAUUUAUCCUGUUGUAAAGUCUCUUGUACUACAGUCGCACCGACGAUUUGCACAAGUUCAGGACUUCUGCCGCGCUGAGGUAAGGCCCGGAACUAAGUGUACGAAGUAAAUACUUCGGGUGCAAAAGAGAAAUCAGUUUCACCUGACAAAAAAAGAGGUACAUUUUUUCCAAACUGCAGAUAGAGAUAUUCCCGAGAUUCUGCCGAGACCGCAUGCAAUUUAGCCUCAUUGCCUAUCUCGGGCGGUAGUUCCAGAGCUGGAGACUCGUGGCCACAAGACUGUUACAGUGCAGCUAUAUACAUUGCGAUUAUUAUGGGAUACAUCUAUUCAGGCCAAUUUAUAGUUCUCUUCAUGCUCUGUACCAGCCUGUUUACAUGGCCAGCGCUAUGUUACGCUCAGGUUCAAGACGACCUAAUCACUGUGUAUAAUCAAAGCCUACCCAUAUUACUCGACGGCAUAUCCAACUACAAAUCGUAGCGCCUACGCGUCCACGUAUUUGCUUUGGGCAAAGCUGGGUUUUCCAGUAGCUUUGGGCACCAGCAGCAGCUCGGCGCUCCCCAUCGCGGUCGCAAUCCAAUUGGAAUCUUCCAGCAGACUCGUGUCUAUCGGCCACGAAGGCAUCGUCAAAAGUGAGUCGCAUUUCCUUCACAAAACGUUGCACGUACGUAGCCUUACACGGACGUAGUCUUGCUGCUUGCGUUUCAGUCAAGUUUCCAAACUCUCGCGUCUUGCAAUCGACUUUUCCCAGGCCCAUUUACAUUUUUGGUCCCGUCUGAGUCUCUCACAACAAAACCCGCCCACAUGACUCACCAUAACCUGUGCCCCAUCGCCUCGCCCUCGCUUGAUUGGAGGCUUUCCCAAACCCACAACCCGCCCACCUGCCGGACACCGUCCUCCCGCCCGAUCGUCGUCAGCCUGUUGCAACGAAACUGACGGUUGGGAUACGCUGGUGCUCAACUCCUUCAAAUGGCUCGCGGCCGCCAACACGGCCAACCGCAGCACUCUUCGUCUGGCGGCUGCGGCAUCCAUGAAGUGGUGGAGCAACCCCGCGCUAGGCUUCAUCGCACAGGC